GCCAGCAUGGCGUAGUGGUUUGAGUGUGGGACUACAAAUCUGGAGACCAGGGUUCAAAUCCCUGCUCAGUCA